CAGCCGCCGCGGUAAUACAGAGGGUGCGAGCGUUAAUCGGAUUUACUGGGCGUAAAGCGUGCGUAGGCGGCUUCUUAAGUCGGAUGUGAAAUCCCUGAGCUUAACUUAGGAAUUGCAUUCGAUACUGGGAAGCUAGAGUAUGGGAGAGGAUGGUAGAAUUCCAGGUGUAGCGGUGAAAUGCGUAGAGAUCUGGAGGAAUACCGAUGGCGAAGGCAGCCAUCUGGCCUAAUACUGACGCUGAGGUACGAAAGCAUGGGGAGCAAACAGGAUUAGAUACCCCCUAGUCCCUGUCUCUUAUACA
rnacentral:rRNA from 1 species